rnacentral:lncRNA from 1 species
CUGCCCGGCCGCCCAGAGCUCUCCAUUGGGCGUCGCUCCCGGGGUCCCGCGCGCCGGCCGUGCUGAUUGGCCGCUGGGGCUUCAUUCACGGCCCCCCUACCGUCCGCGUACACACUCACGCCCCGGGGGCGCGGCCGCCACGUGGGGAGUGGCGCGGGGGUGGCCCUGGGACCGCACCCCCUCUCGUCCUGGCUGUGUGGGCCCCGCUUUCCCCCAGCGCUGGAGACUCCGAGCCCGGCCGGUCCCACAUUCCACGCGAGCUGAAUUCCCGCCCGCAUCCCGCCCGGGCAGCAGGGAUUGCCGGCUCCGGGAGGCGCUCGGGCUCCGAGAAGCGGCUCAGCCCCGCGCCCCUCCCUCCUCAGUACCGCUGCCGGCGGACCAGGAUUCCCGCGGGUCCUGGCGGCUGCGAGCGCGAGGCGGCGCGGAUUCGCGGCUCGGUUCCGGCGCGACUGCUCACCGCGCCCGCCUCGCCUCCCGCGGCUGCCAGCGUGCACUGGGCGCUCCUCGGCGCGUCUGCCCGGCCCGUCUCGGCUUUCCUUCUCCUUCCUCUAGUCCCAGCGUCACAACUCCGCCGACCUCCUCUGCCCUGAGAGCGCGUCCGGUGCGGGCGGAGUCGGACGGACUCUGGCUUCACGCCUCGCGCGGGCACACCUUCUCCCGGGCACUGAGGCCCAGGACUGUGAGCUCUGGGGCUCCGGGACUGGAUCUGCUUCACCUCUAUCCCCCAGCACCCAGCUCAAUUCCCGGUCUAUAGUACUCACCAAUAAAGAAUGCCUGUUGAAUGACCAUAGGUUGUGCCCCUGUGAUCUCAUUUCCUUCUUUUUUAAAAAUGAGGGCUUAGAGGGAUACUGUAGACACUGGUUUGCAGUCUCAGAAGAAGUGGGCUUCAGAGAAGAGGGCAUGUCUUUUUCAUACCUGGUUGGUUGACUGUAGCCAAAAGCGCUGGGUAAUGGACCCAGAGUGCCCUGGACAAGAGCCUGGUGGAGGCUUGUCCUGCCCAAGGUUCUUUAUCGGUGAAGUGAAGUGAAGGUCAGGGGGCAGCAAUGAAUCCAGACAUAAUAGCCUCUCUGUGGGCUGCAGGGAUGGGACUAAGUCUAAUAAGGAGGACUGUGUCGGGCAAAUGUCAGGACCUUGACCUGGGACCAAACCCAACUCCUUGGGGGCAGGUGGGAGAAUAGAGGCCUGGCUCAGCACGAAUGGAGAAGUUACAGGGUUCCUAGGUAUGCUCGUCUUGCCAGAGAGAGAAAGUCACAAAAAGUUUUAUCAAUAUCAACGUUGUAUCCAGAGCAAGGUGCUCUCACUGGUCAGGACACCCUGGCACCUGGCCAGCUUCAGAGGGACAUGGAUCCCUAGGAAUGUGUAUGGGGAGAAAGGCCAGAAUAGGGGGGCAUGUGGAACCAUGAAGAGGUAGCUGAGAAGUGAAUGUUCCGAGGACAUGGUCUCUGCUUUUGUGUCUUUUAUUCCACCAAAUAGGAAUAUCUUUAUGUUUUUGCUGAUGAUAAAAACAAUACAAGCUCAUUUGUAAACACUAGAAAAGUAGUAUACAAAAUAGAAAAUGGAAGUCCUCCAUCAGCCUCUCUGCCUCAUUCCUCAUAACUACUCCUGGUGGCUAUAUCUUUCCAGACCUUUUUUUUGUGUGGACACACAGUACUUAAUAAUAGUAGCUUAGGUUUAUUGAGGGUUUAUGAUGUGCAGGUACUGUGCUAAAUGCUUCUACCUGAAUUUACGCAUUGCAUCCUCACAAAAACAUUAUGGGUUAGCUGCAACUAUUAUUCCCAUUUUACAAAUGAAGAAACUGAGGCUCAGAGAGUUGAACUCAAACUUGCCAGGGUUAUCCAGGUAGUAAUCUAUAUCGUUAUCUGUGGAUCUAUUAUGUACAGAUAUAUAGAUAGAUAGAGAUAUGAAUUCUUUUGGCAGAAGAUGGGACCACAGUGCAUAUAGUGUUUUAUAGUGUUUUGUAACUUGUUCUUUUUUGUUGUUGUUGUCGAGACGGAGUGUUGCUCUGCUGCCCAGGGUGGAGUGCAGUGGCGCAAUCUUGGCUCACUUCAACCUCCACCUCCUGGAUUCAAGCAAUUCUCCUGCCUCAGCCUCCCGAGUAGCUGGGAUUACAGGUGCCUGCCACCACACCGGCUAAUUUUUGUGUUUUUAGUAGAGAUAGGAUUUUACCACGUUGGCCAGGCUAGUCUCGAACAUGUGACCUCAGGUGAUCCGCCU